CUGUCCUUAUGAUGGUUUCGAUGCUCUUCCUCUAAAAUUCUCCCUUUUAAUUUUGCUCACAGACCGUUUCUUCGUAUUACAAAGGCGGGUUCGAAUCGAAAAUGAAUGUUCGGGAAGCUAGUCUUAUUUUAGGCAUAAGUCCAUCUGCUGGCAAGGCCAAGAUUAGAAAUGCUCACCGGAAAAUCAUGAUUCUGAACCACCCAGAUAAAGGUGGAUCUCCAUACCUGGCAACCAAAAUCAACGAAGCCAAGGACCUGCUGGAAUCAAGCAGGAAAAAUUAAAGAGAUUUUCACCGCACCUCAGAAACCUUUUAGAGGCCGCACAAGGACCUCUUACUUUCCCAUUUGUAGGGGAACCACACAGCACAGAAACCAAACUUCGGGCUUGUUAAUAAAGUUUCAGCAGCUUUGAA